AACUAUCCAAUCAUGUUAUAUAGGUGGCAGUUGUCAAGAUCAUUAACCACACAGCAUUUAUUAACUGUGGUAUCUAUCACUAACACACUAAUGAAUCAGACCUGGGGAGCUCAUGUGUUAGCUACUGGAUCUUACAAGAAGCUAAUGAUGGAAUGGCUCAGAUGAUGCUUCAGUUUAAAAAUGAAAUUGAGACUAUGAACAAAGAAAUGAUGAGUGCAAUGAAAGAACAA